UACACUGGCCGCACUUUUGGUGCUCGCGCCCGCAUUCUCCUGCGGGCGUAGUCAAACGGGAAACAGGAGCGAAGUCCUCCAGCGUGCUGCCAGGACGAGUCAACCUGUACUGCCCCCGCAACGGUAAGCGACCGUAACGCAAGUUGCAAGUCGUUCCAGGCGCGUUUUGCAUGAAGCCCGUAUGAAGAGUGAGGCUCUACAAGAACGUGACCAAGCCACUGCGCGCAUCGCGUGGGAAGGCGGAACGAACGUCGUCAGCCCGGAUACCAGCCAAUCGUCCUGCGUGUUC
rnacentral:ncRNA from 2 species